rnacentral:rRNA from 1 species
AGCUCCAAUAGCGUAUAUUAAAGUUGUUGCGGUUAAAAAGCUCGUAGUUGGAUUUCUGUCGAGGCUAGUCAGUCCACCCUCUGGGUGCGUACAUGAUUUGGCCUUGGCAUCAUCUUGGAGAGUAUUCUGCGCUUCGAUGUGUGGGGUAGUAUCCAAGACUUUUACUUUGAGGAAAUUAGAGUGUUUCAAGCAGGCACACGCCUUGAAUAUAUUAGCAUGGAAUAAUAAGAUAAGACCUUGGUUUUAUUUUGUUGGUUUCUAAAGCUGAGGUAAUGAUUAAUAGGGAUAGUUGGGGGGCAUUCGUAUUUAACUGUCAGAGGUGAAAUUCUUGGAUUUGUUAAAGACGAACGACUGCGAAAGCAUUUGCCAAGGAUGUUUUCA